rnacentral:lncRNA from 1 species
GGGUCACCCACUCUCCAUGACACCUCACAGCUCCCUCCCUCUGGUCUCGCCCCAGCCAUGGCCCUCACAAACCAACUCACCCAACCACGCCGACGACGCCGUCGAGCCUGCCUUCCCCGGCCAGCACGCCGUUGAGCCUGCCCUCGUCCGGUAGCACCACGCGCCUCCGAGCUUGCCACGCCUCUGACAGCCGGCGUCCCCUCGGACCGGCCCAGGGUCGACCACGCUGUAAGUCGGACCACCAUAUGAAAUAUGAAGCUUUGCUUUGGUUUUUCCCUUCCUUUCCUUUCCAUCCUAUUCACUACCUGCAAGCUGCAAGCUGCAAGCUGAUAUCUACUCAUCUUCAUGAUAUGCUGGUGCUGAAUCAUAACGCUCAUCAUCUCCCUUGAUUUUAACUUGGAUGCAGCUGCCCCCUUCUCCGCUUCCAUUGGGAAUGGAAGCGAAAAUAGGCAUCACUCCAUCUCCAUUAGUCUCUCCUUGGGACUUGUGAGGAAUUUUCAUAGGCUCUUUCCAAUCCACACCACCUACUGUAUUUCUUCUUCACCACAUGGCCGAUCCAGACGCGCUGCUGCUACGCAAGUCAACG